rnacentral:rRNA from 1 species
CGCUAUCACUCCUACGGGGAGGCAGCAGUAGGGAAUCUUCCACGAUGGGCGCAAGCCUGAUGGAGCAACACCGCGUGAGUGAAGAAGGGUUUCGGCUCGUAAAGCUCUGUUGUUAAAGAAGAACACGUAUGAGAGUAACUGUUCAUACGUUGACGGUAUUUAACCAGAAAGUCACGGCUAACUACGUGCCAGCAGCCGCGGUAAUACGUAGGUGGCAAGCGUUAUCCGGAUUUAUUGGGCGUAAAGAGAGUGCAGGCGGUUUUCUAAGUCUGAUGUGAAAGCCUUCGGCUUAACCGGAGAAGUGCAUCGGAAACUGGAUAACUUGAGUGCAGAAGAGGGUAGUGGAACUCCAUGUGUAGCGGUGGAAUGCGUAGAUAUAUGGAAGAACACCAGUGGCGAAGGCGGCUACCUGGUCUGCAACUGACGCUGAGACUCGAAAGCAUGGGUAGCGAACAGGAUUAGAUACCCUGGUAG